CUUGACUCUGGCAAGCACAGCUUCGGUAGAGAGCUGUCCUUCAACUACAGACUUCAACCAAGAAGUAUAUCGUAUACAGAGCUGACUGUACAACUGCAGGGGAGACAGGCAGGAAGAUUCUCAAAAGCAAGUCGAGAGCUGGAAUUACCAAAGUGUCUCUGACAGCAGGUGGAGAGAUGAGGCACUGGUCAUUGGUGAUUGAGGAUACCAGCCAUACUCUGCAAUCGCCCCCCCCCUCACUGGCCACUCCAUUGUUCUCCUUUCCCUUUCUCCAUUUCACUUUUGCUGUCAUGCAGUUCACAUUUACUUGUACAGAAGACUUGCUUCCCAGCUAGACCGUGAUAGAGUUCUGUAACACUGUUCUCUUCACCCAUGAGGAUUUUAAUGGAGACUUCUCACAAAUAUGGUUAUGCAGUAUUGUGGUUGUGAGUUUUGU